GAUGAAGAACGCAGCGAAACGCGAUAAGUAAUGUGAAUUGCAGAAUCCAGUGAAUCAUCGAAUCUUUGAACUCACAUUGCGCCCGCCAGCAUUCUGGCGGGCAUGCCUGUUCGAGCGUCAUUUCAACCCUCGACCUCCCCUUGGGGAGGUCGGCGUUGGGGACCGGCAGCACACCGCCGGCCCUGAAAUGGAGUGGCGGCCCGUCCGCGGCGACCUCUGCGCAGUAAUACAGCUCGCACCGGGACCCCGACGCGGCCACGCCGUAAAACACCCAACUUCUGAACGUUGACCUCGAAUCAGGUAGGACUACCCGCUGAACUUAAGCAUAUCAAUAAGCGGAGGA
rnacentral:misc_RNA from 1 species